rnacentral:rRNA from 1 species
UACGUAGGUGGCAAGCGUUGUCCGGAUUUACUGGGCGUAAAGGGCGUGCAGGCGGUUUGUUAAGUGCAGGGUGAAAGCUCCCGGCUCAACUGGGAGAGGUCCUUGCAUACUGGCAGACUUGAGGGAGGCAGAGGAAAGUGGAAUUCCCGGUGUAGUGGUGAUAUGCGUAGAUAUCGGGAGGAACACCGGUGGCGAAGGCGGGGUCCUGGGCCAGUACUGACGCUGAGGAGCGAAAGCGUGGGGAGCAAACAGG